UAGUGAAGGUCACUUGAGAUCUUGGCGCCAUCAGCUUACUGCAAACACUUGCAUUUAGAAGGCAAGCAACAUCGUAACGGUCUAUAACUCAAGGUUGCUGAAAUUCCUUGCUAGGGCUUCGCAGGUUUACGUAUAGCUGCUUCUGAACUAAACCUUCUUUCAGUUAUUUUCCGUCCGCAACCAGGUAAUUCUCGUGACGCCAAUUCCAUGCUACUGCGAUGUACCAGGAGGCAGAGGUGGCGCCGAAUGCCUAAGAUUUUCACCUGAAGCGGUGUAACGCCGCAUUCUUCAACGGCUGAGUCACGAAUAAUCUACGACAAUCCAAAGUUCCAUUGCAGUCAAUCGAAAGUCCCCUCCUCUUUCGGUUAACUGCAGCUAGUGCAGAGCGUUGCGCGAAAAAAUGCGGAAGUGUUCGGAGAGGGGAGGCAUCAGCCUUUCAAGGCCGAUUCGUGAAGCUACUUGAACGGACGAGUAGGCGAACGUGAGCCGUGGGUCUUCUGAUUGUUUCGAUGGCAUUCGUCGCGCUGUGUGGAAUCAGCUGUAGGGCUAGCACCCACAUACCUGAAAUUCUUCGGGAAAUCCCGUACCUGGCUUACCUUGCAGAAUAUGACAAGCCGAAUCCUUUACGAAGGACAGCCUUUAUUUCUUGCAUCUUUCCACCAUUCCUUCUAUCCAUGCUUUCUUUUUUCAACGUGGUUGCUCAAGAUUGUUUCUUUUUAUCCUCAGUUCUUUCUCAGUUGUUGUCUAAUACCGGCAUCACAGUUAGCCCGCGUCUCAAACGCCGCGUGGCAGUCGACCGCGACGUUCUUUCCCAAUUUUGCUCAAUCGCCCUUCCCCGCUGACUUGUGUGUCCUGUAGUGUGAACACGUAGCUCACUUCACUUUUUGUUUUUACUUAAAAAACAACAAAACACAUUUAGUAAAUUUUCGAUGGUGUAGCGCGUAGUCGAAGGCCCUUUCAAGUUUCGUAUUUUAUGUGACUCGAUCCACUCUGAGCGGCAACAUCUGGAUUACGCCGUUACAUGGACUGCAAUCUGCUUUAACCAAGGGAAGAGAUAGCGUUAACGUACUUCUGGUUUAUGUGUUACACCCACGAGGAAACCAGACGGUAGCUGGAUAUUGGCAAUAGGUGGACGGUGGUGUCCUGGGGUAGGAAAUGCCUAGAGGUUGCCGUUCAGACCGUUAUCGGACUGUUGGAACCAAUCGGAGGCCCCGGGACAACUGUGGAAAUUGACAAAUCCAUGUUUGGAAAGCGUAAGUACAAUCGUGGCAAAAGGCGGGACGGAUUUUGGGUGUUUGGAGGGGUUGAGCGGUGAUCCAACCGCUGCUUUAUGGUUCCCGUGAAAAAUAGAAAGGCGUCAACGCUCAUCCCUCUUAUAAAACAUUUCAAUCUUCCGGGUACCACAAUCUUGUCCGAUUGUUUGCUAGCAUACCGGAAAUUGAACCUUCUUGGAUACGAACAUGGAACCGUAAAGUCGUGAACCACUCUCAGUUUUAUAAGGAUCCUGUAAUGGGCGUGCAUACAAACACCGUAGAGGGAAUGUGGGCGCAUUCAAAGCGUUCGUUAAUCACUGGUGGAAGACCGAAGAGGCCCAGUAUGGGUACCUUGCCACCUUUAUGCUUAAGCGAAAGCUAGCAGAGGAGGAGAGGGACCAAUUCGUGAGUUUUCUUCGUCUAGCCCACGAUUGCGUGGAAAAGGAGUAUCCCAUUGGAGACCACGACCUGCUCCUACCAGAGGAAUCUGAAUCAGAAAACUAUUCAUCAGAAUCCGAUUCUGAUGAUGACGUUGAUGAUUACAGAGACCUCUUGGAGGAGUGGGCUGGUGGUUAUGACCUCUCUUUCGAGUUUCCGGAUACCCUUUCCGCCAACGAACGCUGACAGCUACACAUCUUGUGUGAUGAGUUGGGUCUUCAGAUCUCAGAUGAGGAUAAACGUCACGCGGCUUUUCCCUGCUACCUUUGUAGCAAUGGAGGACAAUGCCUCAGGUGAAUCCUCCAGCAUCCUCACUGCUGAUCCCACACUCGCACUCGCUGCCGAUCCCACACCAGUAUCCACUGCUGAUCAAUGUCACGCUGCCGCUUCCGCUUCCACUCCCGCACCAACCUCCGCUCCUGCACCGGAGGAUACCACUCCUGGUCCCGUUAGAGCUAGCGAGAGAAAAAGAUUUUUACCAUCCCACCUGGACGACUACAUUGUUAAAGUCCCUAAACUCCCCAUCCCCCAAAGAGUGAGGGGAGUGGAAAUUCAAAAAAAUUUAUUUAUUUUUGCAUUCUCUAUCCCUUCUUCACCUCCGACCUUCCACCCACCAUUCUACCACUCUACUCCCGUAGUUCUUUCAUUUCUUCUCCCACUUACCGUAAAGGUCAUCAAGUUUACUCACGGUCAGUCACGUGAAGAUGAUGUUCCAUCAACCUCCAUUUUCACAUUUUUAUCGACAAAAUGCUACAAUAUUUAUUUAUGAGAUUUGAACCAUGCAGGACGCGUCGUUAUGUCAAGGGUGGUAGCUAUAACCCCAACGUCACAGAACACUGUUUAUGUGUGUCAGUAUUCUAAUAUGUCUAUAUCCCAAAAUUUGGCACGAAAAUAAUAUGUUGCCUUUAUACGA
rnacentral:lncRNA from 1 species